AGGGUUGUGGCUCAGUGGUAGAGCACUCACCUAGUAUGUGUGAGACGCUGGGUUCAAUCCUCAGCACCACGU
rfam:Ictidomys tridecemlineatus contig095369, whole genome shotgun sequence.